rnacentral:tRNA from 1 species
CGCGCCGUGGCGCUGGGGGAGCAACCGGGGAUCCGAGCUUCUUCGAGGCCAGAUCGGGAUCUGCGACGCAAAGAGCAUCAGGCUUCGAACCUGAGGUUCCGGGGUUCGAAUCCCCCCGGCGUGC